rnacentral:lncRNA from 1 species
ACCGCUGUGUCGCUUCGCUGCCUCGCCAAAUGAGUGACCACUGUGGAUGUUCGCUGUCUCACAAACAAGGAGACUGCCUAAUCUGUGCACUGCCUGGCGAACAAGCAAACCGCUUCGUCUCUUCGCUGCCUGGAGAGGAAGCAGACCACUGGUUCUCUUCGCUCUCUCGCAAAAGAGCACAUCACUGCAUCUAUUCGCCUACUCACAAAACAGCACACGACCGUGGCUCUUCCCUACCUCGCAAACAAGCAAGCUGCUCUAUGUGUUCGCUGCCUCGCCAACUAACUAACUGCUGCGUCUCUUYGCUCCCUCGCAAACUAACUGACCUCAGYGUCUCUUYGCUGCCUCGCACACUAACUUACGACUACGUCUGUGCCUUGCCUUGCAAACUAAGGAACCGCUGCGUCUCUUCCCCUCCUCGCCAACAAGCAACCCGCUGUGUCUCUUGGCUGCCGCGUGCUAAAGCAAACCAUGGCGCCGCUACGCCACCUC